rnacentral:rRNA from 1 species
UACGGGGGGGGCAAGCGUUGUUCGGAAUUACUGGGCGUAAAGGGCUCGUAGGUGGCCAACUAAGUCAGACGUGAAAUCCCCAGGCUCAACUUGGGAACUGCGUCUGAUACUGGAUGGCUUGAAUCCGGGAGAGGGAUGCAGAAUUCCAGGUGUAGCGGUGAAAUGCGUAGACAUCUGGAGGAAUACCGGUGGCGAAGGCGGCAUCCUGGACCGAGAUUGACACUGAUGAGCGAAAGCGAGGGGAGCAAACGGG